rnacentral:rRNA from 1 species
GAUGAACGCUGGCGGCGUGCCUAAUACAUGCAAGUCGAGCGAACAGACGAGGAGCUUGCUCCUCUGACGUUAGCGGCGGACGGGUGAGUAACACGUGGAUAACCUACCUAUAAGACUGGGAUAACUUCGGGAAACCGGAGCUAAUACCGGAUAAUAUAUUGAACCGCAUGGUUCAAUAGUGAAAGACGGUUUUGCUGUCACUUAUAGAUGGAUCCGCGCCGCAUUAGCUAGUUGGUAAGGUAACGGCUUACCAAGGCGACGAUGGGUAGCCGACCUGAGCGGGUGGUCGGACACCUGGGAACUGAGAAACGGCCCAGACUCCUACGGGAGGAAGCAGUAGGGACUCUUCCGCAAUGGGCGAAAGCCUGACGGAGCAACGCCGCGUGAGUGAUGAUGGUCCUCGGAUCGUAAAACUCUGUUAUUAGGGAAGAACAAAUGUGUAAGUAACUAUGCACGUCUUGACGGUACCUAAUCAGAAAGCCACGGCUAACUACGUG